ensembl:processed_transcript
CCUUACCUGUAUCACCUGUGCUUCAUGUGCAUCAGUUACCUGCAUCACUUGCAUUACCUACGUCACAGACUGGAUAAAAGAUACAGACCCUGACCCAUAGCACUUUCUCUCCCCACCACUUCCUCAUUUCUUCCCCUCACCCUCCCCCCACCCCCCUUUCAGAGGUGCCUCUCAUGUGAGACCUGUGCUGGCUUGGCGUGAUCUUUCCUGGAAUGCGCAGUCUCCUAUAACAGUCACAGGAGGAUAUGGUAUCUUCUUCUGGCCUCUGUGGGCACUGAACACAUGUGGUUCAUAUAAAUACAUGCAGGGUCUCCCUGUAAGAAAAGCAUUUUGUGCCAGGGUGAAGUGGUUGUGUGAAGGAGGGCCUAUUAAGUGCUUAUGAAUUAAGUAGAGGAGAAAGCAAGGAUUCUGGGAAAUUUGAUAAACUCCGUCACAUCUUGACUGUGGGCUGCUCAGCCACUGUCUUGCUAUCAGAAGAUGCCAGCAAUGGAAAAAGUCAGGAACAUUAUCUCCGGGGCAAAACCAGCUGACAUAGGGUAAUCUUUGUUGUCACCCUA